CGCCAGCCCGCUCAGAAACUCAAAGGAAUUGACGGGGGCCCGCGACAAGCGGUGGAGCAUGUGGUUUAAUCGAUGAUACGCGAGGAACCUUACCUGGGCUCAAAUGUAUGUUGACGUAUUCUGAAAGGGAUACUUCUUCGGACAAUAUACAAGGUGCUGCAUGGUUGUCGUCAGCUCGUGCCGUGAGGUGUCGGGUUAAGUCCCAUAACGAGCGCAACCCCUAUCAUUAGUUGCCAUCAGGUCAAGCUGGGGACUCUAAUGAAACUGCCUACGCAAGUAGUGAGGAAGGUGGGGAUGACGUCAAAUCAGCACGGCCCUUACGUCCAGGGCUACACACGUGCUACAAUGGCCGGUACAAAGGGCAGCUACCUGGUGACAGGAUGCUAAUCUCAAAAGCCGGUCUCAGUUCGGAUCGGAGUCUGCAACCCGACUCCGUGAAGCUGGAAUCGCUAGUAAUCGCGCAUCAGCCAUGGCGCGGUGAAUACGUUCCCGGGCCUU
rnacentral:rRNA from 1 species